rnacentral:rRNA from 1 species
AGUGAACGCUGGCGGUAGGCCUAACACAUGCAAGUCGAACGGCAGCACAGUAAGAGCUUGCUCUUACGGGUGGCGAGUGGCGGACGGGUGAGGAAUACAUCGGAAUCUACUUUUUCGUGGGGGAUAACGUAGGGAAACUUACGCUAAUACCGCAUACGACCUACGGGUGAAAGCAGGGGAUCUUCGGACCUUGCGCGAUUGAAUGAGCCGAUGUCGGAUUAGCUAGUUGGCGGGGUAAAGGCCCACCAAGGCGACGAUCCGUAGCUGGUCUGAGAGGAUGACAAGCAACAUUGGAACUGGGAACCGGUCCAGCUCCCUACGGAAGGCAGCAUGGGGGAAUAUUGGCCAAUGGGCGCAAGCCUGAUCCAGCCAUACGGCGUGGGUGAAGAAGGCCUCCGGGUGGUAAAGCCCUUUUGUUGGGAAAGAAAAGCAGCAGGUUAAUACCCCGCUGUUCUGCCGGUACCAAAGAAUAAGCACCGGCUAACUUCGUG